CGUGUAGGCGGGGGUAGAAGUCAGGUGUGAAAUACCGCGGCUCAACUGCGGGGAUGCAUCUGAAACUCUGCUUCUUGAGUGUCGGAGAGGAAAGCGGAAUUCCCAGUGUAGCGGUGAAAUGCGUAGAGAUUGGGAGGAACACCAGUGGCGAAGGCGGCUUUCUGGACGACAACUGACGCUGAGGCGCGAAAGCGUGGGGAGCAAACA
rnacentral:rRNA from 1 species